GGGGCCACCCGGUGCGCAGAGGCAGAGGGGCCCCCAAAACCCGCAACGCGGGCCCCUCAGUCUGCGGGCCAAGCCCGGGGUUUCCCUCCAUUAAGAAGUCAGUUGGGCGUUUCUGCUGGCGUGGAGAGCGCUACCAGGUGCCCCCGGAUUUUGAUCGGGAGUCGCUUUUGCCUUUCCGUGGACAAGCCUUCCUCCGCCAGCAGAUGCCCCGGGCAGGAAGAGAAGCGGUGGGUGAGUGGAAAGGGCCUUGGUAUGGAAACGCAGAGACCGAAUUCCUUCUCAUCUGCCAGCUCCGUGGCCGUGGGCACAUUAUCUGUUUUCUUAGUCCGGCUCAUCGUUUCUUUCAAAAACCAUUUUGGACCCUUCUGGGAAGGCAAAGAAGAGAAGCAGAGUGGACUGUGAGCGGACAUAAACCACCCUGAUGGGUAUGAUUUCCAUUUUUGGCACGGGAGUCCGGAGAUUUUGUGACCCUCUCCAAGGACACACAGCAAUCCCUUGAGAGCCCCAAGACCAGAGUCCAGUUGCCAUGACAUUGCUGCCCUAUAACCACACUCUGGUGGCCCUCCUUUUAACGGGACCUGC
rnacentral:lncRNA from 1 species